AGCCUUAUAGUCUAUAAUGAUUUAAAAUUGCAAAUUUUAAGGGGUAAUUAAAUUACUAAGGCUU
rnacentral:tRNA from 1 species